GAUGAACGCUGGCGGCGUGCCUAAUACAUGCAAGUCGAGCGAAGCGGGGACGGGUGAGUAACACGUGGAUAACCUCCUAUAAGACUGGGAUAACUUCGGGAAACCGGAGCUAAACCGGUUGCUUCUCAAUGGAUACGCGCUGCAUUAGCGAGUUGGUACGGUAACGGCCUACCAAGGCAACGAUGCCUAGACGACCGGAGAGGGUGAUCGGCCACACUGGAACUGAGACACGGUCCAGACUCCUACGGGAGGCAGCAGUAGGGAAUCUUCCGCAAUGGGCGAAAGCCUGACGGAGCAACGCCGCGUGAGUGAUGAAGGUCUUCGGGUCGUAAAACUCUGUUAUUAGGGAAGCGUUACCUAAUCAGAAAGCCACGGCUAACUACGUGCCAGCCGCCGCGGUAAUAC
rnacentral:rRNA from 1 species